AGCCAGGGCUACAUAGAGAAAUAUCAUCUUAAGACAAACAAGAAGGGUGUUUCGUCAGCCCAGCGCUCUAUACCUGUGGGGAGGUCGGAAAACCCUUAAUCACAAGUGGGUGUCUGUGAACUACAGCUUCUUCCUGGUCUGUGGGACUGUGCUCUGGGGUCCACAGCAGACGGCCAGGGCUGUGGGCAGCACUAACCUCUCUAUGUAUUGUAUGUGCAUAUGUACGUAUCUAUAGUCCAUUGCUGCUGCUGCUGGUGGUUUUGGUGGUACUGGGAACCUCUUGCAUGCUGGGUAAGGAUUUUACCACUGAGCUAUAUUUCUAGGAUAAAUAACUAUAUUUCUUUGACAAAUUUGAUUUCUAAGUUAGAUGCAGUAGGAGAUUAACAACAGCAAUAAAAAUUGUAUAAUUAUAACUUUCCCUAAAGCUACCAGUGUCAAUAUUAAUGGCUCUGCAUCAUUACUAAGUUUUAAGAUUAUUUGGCUAUAAGCACUAGGACAGCACAGGUAGCUAACCAGGAUGGUUGCUGGAUGACUAACAGAUGGAUAGCAUAUGUAAGUGGAUGCCCUGGGCAGGGGAAAAUGCAAGUCUCCAGAAGGAUAGAGCAAAGCGGCCUAUGAUUUUAUUACCUUACUCAAAACAAAUGGGACAGUUUAAAUCGUAUAUUUGUUUAUUUCUGUAAUUUCUACUUUUUUGUAUGGGUUUUAGAGAAAGUCUUGUCCAGCUUAUUCUUGAACUCUUUUUAAAGAUCUUUGUUUUGUUUUGAAUUAUAUGUGUGUGUGUAUGCCUGUGAGUGAGGGUAUCUGAGGGUGCCUGAGGUGCUGGAUUCCCUGGGCUGGAGUUACAGGCAGGAGCUCCUGCCGUGGGUGCUUGGGCCUGGAACUGGGGUCCUCUGCAAGAUCAGUAAGCACUCCUAACCACUGAGCCAUCUGUUCAGUCCUUUAAAGUCUUUACAUUUAAAAAUAUGUUAUUGUUUAUGUGUGUGUAUAAUAUGUGUAUGAGAGUGUAUGAGUUUAUGUGAAAGCACCCUUCUCGGUGCUUUCAUCGUACUUAGAGCUAGUACCAACAAAGCAGUCUAUGUAGUUGAAUAUACUUCCACUAACACUCUGUAGCCUUUGCUUACUCUCCAAGAUAGGUGAUAAUAGUUCACAAUUUUGUUCUUUGACAUAGUGUCUCAUCAUAUAGUGUAAGCUGGCCUGCAGCUUCCUGUAUAGUUCAGGCUGACCUUGAACUCUUGAUCCUCCUGCUUUAGCCUCUGAGUGCUGAGAUUAUAAGAUGUGCCCCCAUGCCAGGCUCUACCAACAGCAACAAUAAUAAUUUUUUCUCCUCCUCCUCCUCUUCUUCCUUCUCCUCCUCUUCUUCUUCCUCCUCUUCUCCCUCCUCCUCCCUCCUCCUCCUCCUCCUCCUCCUCCUCCUCCUCCUCCUCAAUUUUGUGAGUGUAAUUAGAAACCUAGUAUAGACCUAGCAUAGAGAGCCUACUUAGCUCAGUUCGUGUGGCUAAUGAGAGUGUGAGCUUAGAUAUGAAAUCUAGAUUUGACCACAGAGCUUUCUUGUAGCCAAAUACAUUUGUUCAUCCUCAAUCUCUCCUUCCCUCCUUCCUUCCUUCCCUUCCCUCCCCUCCCCCCCAAACCCCUCCCCCCUUUUCCUCGCCCUCUCCACCAACUUCUCUGUAAACAUAAGAGUCUUGGAGCUGGAGACAUGGCUCAAUGGUUUAGAGUGCUUCCAAGUUCACUUCUCAGAACCCGAAUGAGGCAGCUUACAGCUACCUGAGCCCAGCUCCAGGGGCUCUGACCUCUCCUGGCUGUCGGUGCUCAUACACAGUGGCAUACACUUGUACAGACACAUGUAUAUACAAGUGAAUAAAAACAAAGUGAAAAGACAGCCCUCACCAUGUAGUCCAGGCUGGCCUCAAAUUUUCUAUCCUCCUGCCUCAGUUCUAAAGAGCUAGGCUUAUAGGUGUUUAUCAUGCCAGAUCAAAAUCCUCCUAAGUCAUUCGUUAACUGUUACCUGAUCCCUAUCAUGGUCCAGGCAUUGUUGACAGUUGAAUAAGAAUUUAUUGUAGUUUUUUUUUAAGAUUUAUUUUAUUUAUAUGAGUAUACUGUAGCUGUCUUCAGACACAUGAGAAGAGGGCAUCGAAUCCCUUUUAUAGAUGGUUAUGAGCCACCAUGUGGUUGCUGGGAAUUGAACUCAGGACCUCUGGAAGAGGAGUCAGUGCUCUUAACUGCUGAGCCAUCUUUCCAGCCCUUAUUGUAAAAUUUUAUUUACUUGUUCUUUUAUAACAUUUUUUAUAUUUAUUUGGGUGUAUGUGUGAGGACACCUGUGGAGGUAAGAGAACAGUUUGUGGGGAUUUUCUCAUUCUACUAUGUGUGUUUGAGGAAUCACACUCUGGUUGUCAGGUUUGGUGACAAGCACCUUUACCCACUUAGCCAUCUUGCCAGCCUGUACUGUGGAUUUAAUACAAAUAUUUAUAAUACUGUCUAGGAAUAUGUAUUAUUCCUAGAAAUGAGAAAAGUAAUGUAUUUAUCUGCAAACUCGGAUUAAAUACAGACGGAAAAGUCUGUUGCCAAGCUUUGGUUAUCCAGAGCAUAGGCUGUUUUCUUUAUUCAUCUAAAAGAGCUCUGAACUUAAAACCUGGAGGUAGUGUAGUGGGGCACAGAUAAGGGGAGGGGUGAAUACGAAUAGAUAUGAAACUAGCUUUAGAUAAUCAGGAGAAAACAGUAUUGUUGAUAAUUCUGAAAAGACUUGAGGUGCCAGAAGUACUCUGAGUAGGCGGUUCCUACACUAGAAGUUGGAAUGUAUUCAUUUAACUGGCAUUGCCCAGUUAAAGUUGAUCUGUAUUGUUUUUUUUUGUUUUUGUUUUUGUUUUUUUGUUUUGUUUUGUUUUGUUUUUCAGAGACAGGGUUUCUCUGUGUAGCCUUGGCUGACCUGGAAUUCACUUUGUAGACCAGGCUGGCCUUGAACUCAGAAAUCCGCCUGCCUCUGCCUCCCAGGUGCUGGGAUUAAAGGCGUGUGCCACCACGCCCGGCGAUCUGUAUUGUUUUUUAG
rnacentral:lncRNA from 1 species